GAGGCAGCGGUUUGAGGAGCAACUCAGGGAUUGUCAACAUGGUGACGAUGAAGCGAUGUCCAUGGUCGUAACGUUUUGCACUACCCUUUAGUACGGUCUGCCACUGACAAGGGCCCGCGGUCUGGGGAUUUAUCGCGUGAUUAUGUUGUCGAUGGAUGCACAGAACAUCAAGGAUGUCCUCAUGUUCCCGGCCAUGAAGCCUCCAGAUCAGUUGCCGUAUGGAAAGCAGAUAUCCUUUUUUCCGAUAAUGUAAGAAAAAUUUGGAGUGCUGAUUAUAUUUUCUUCAUCGUUAACUUAUAUACAUUGAGAAAUAACUAGUCUAAACCCUCACGGUCGCAGAGUGCUGCCCACCUUAGUUGAUGGAUUUAGGUGUAUCUUUUUGAAUUUUUAUCUGUUUGUUCUUAUUUCGUUACCUUGUCUGCACUCUGUUUCAAUUUUCAUGUUACUUUGUCUUCCAACAUCUGUUGGCAAGUGAAGUUCACAUACUACCAUUCGGUAAAAGAAUGAUCUCAUGUGUAAUGCCUUACUUUUGUACACCACUGUACAAUAUGGUUUUAUAUAUCUUUUUCUUUUGUCAUUUUGGUUUCAACCAAUAUUUAGUCACAUCAGCACCAUUUAUGCAAUAAUAUAUGCUCCCUCCGUAUCAAAAUAUAAGACGUUUAUUGACACUAUAUUUUGAUACAGAGGUAGCAGCUAAUAAAAGAUACUCUUUCUCAUCCAUAUUACUUAUUGCUUAAACGGAUGUAUCUAGCACUGAAAUACAUCUAGGUGCAUAUAUUUCAGCGAUAAGCAAUAUCCAUAUGAGGCGGUAUUUAUGUUUUUUGUUGCUUCCUGUAGUUUACAUGUGCUUGUUUUUUUUGUGGGGGACACGUGCUUGGUUUGUAUCCUAUUUAUACACAACAGUGUAUUAUUCCAGAGAUAAUUUUUGUUCAGGUACAAACAAGACAGCUUAGCGCAAAUUUAAGUGUAAUUGCAAAAUUGAUCGACUGAGUGUACCCAAAAAUGCAAGCAUGCACUACUGCUAAUGCCUUGCAAUGACGGACGCAAAAAACCUAGGAGUGGCGGGCAUGACUCCCAGGGGCACCCGCCACUGAUCUCCCGUCAACAUGGAAUCAGUGGCGGGUGCGCCCCUGCCACUAGUACAAUUCUUUAGUGGUGGGCAAGCUGUGGGCGACCACCAGUGAUAACUUUGGCAUGCAAAUAAUAUUUUUUGCACACACAGCCUCAUUUGAGCUGCGGUGGUUGCCUUUUGCGUAAAACCCAUAUCAUAAACUGCAAUAUGCGGCAAGAUUACAGUGACUGUGAAACAUAUUACGACAUUAAAGAAUACGUUAACCACUAGCUAAUUGUUAUCAACCAUGAUUAGGAAUGCACCAACUAGGUUGUAUCAUCUUAGCUAGGUAUCUACCCAUCACAUAGUAAUAAAUAUGAUCGACGAUACACACAUCCAACAUUUAGUAUUACCGAUCAUCACAAGUACUUGGGCCUAGUACUCUCUAUUAGGAAAAAUUGAAAAGAAUAGGAAAACCCAAACAUCCACCAGUCUCCAAUUUAGGGCCUGCACCCAUUCAAUAUUUGCAUCCAUCCUUGAAUUUUCAUGCGUCCAUUUGAUAGGCUUUCAGUCGAGUAUCUAUCUAUGAAAUUGGUCUUCUCAUAGCAAAUGGUUGCCAUCUCACCUUCCACAUCCGUUACCGCAUGCACAACAACUCUUAGGAGCUUCUUCUGAAGAACGUAAUAGUAAAAUAGUUAGCAAUGUUGUUAAUUUUAGUAAAAUGUAUGAAAAAGGACAAGUGACACGAUCGUAAAUAAUCUAACCAUGCAUUUUCGACAAAUUUUAAUGCCGCUCAACUUGUAGACUAGUGGCACGUAUCGUGUAGUAUUUGGGUAAGCUCCAUUGGUGCCCUUAAAAGACUGGACAUCACUAUUAGAGGAGACAAGAUAACUACCAGCAGACGAGGGAGAAACUUCAAAUCCCAAAUUUCAUCUGCUUCACUAGGAUGAUAGAUGACUGAAGGUUCCUUCCUAGACAUCCCAAAAUUCCAACAACCGCCAUCAUAUCUUGGUAACUUUUCGAUGCCUCCUACUCCUAGCAUCGUGUGGCCAAGAAUAAAGUAUAUAAGAUAUAUAUGCUACCAACAAUGUUGACUCGAUCGACUGCUCUACCAAAGCUUUAGAGCUGCUCUAGAAUUCACCGCAUUGCGGUGUAUAUUAUGGGUUCUGGGAUAGUGUGUUAGUGAGUGCGUGUGUGAGGGCUGGGGAGGUUGGUGAAGAACGGAGAAGCAGCCAUGCAAAAAUAUGUAUAAUAACGUCAGUACAUAUUAAUGUUGACCGAACACACCCAUGUUACAAAGUGACUACCAUAAAUAUGUAGACUGCCCGGACUUCGUCAUUACUUACGUGUCAGUUAUUUCCGGUACAUUUACUCAUUACUUGGGUGUAGCCACUACUUUCCCCACGAUCAAACCAAAAAUAUGUAUGUGCAACCACCACAUGUCCAUCAAAAGUGUAUUAGUAAACUUAUACACUAGAUAUACAUCCAUAUAUAAACAAGAGAAGAUUUAUUUUGUAAGAAUGCAAAAAAUGCCCAUUGAUGUGCCACCAGUCCGAACGGCUCCAAACCCUAAGAUACAACUUGCUGGGCCCAAACCACUAGUGAGCUGGGUCGCUGUAUAGUGUGAUGGGUUUUUUGAUAUGGAGUCAGGUUAGGCAGCUUCAUGAAUCAUUCUGAGAGACUCGGAUGGUGCAUUCUGGUGUAAUUGCUGCACUGACGGAUAACUUGUUGUAUGAAUAUAAUGCAGAUUGUGUUGCGCACGAUUCGAUGGGUUAUGUGAAGAUUAAUCGCACAAAGAAUAUUAGUCCUAAGUUAUUCUAUGCACAUAAGCUGCAGAAGAUGAACGAGGUGAGAAUCUUGCAUAAUAGGUCAUGUGACAAUAUUGCUGAUUUAUUAACUAAAUCAUUACGGACGACAUCCUUCUAGAGAUGUGUGCCCGUAGUCGGUAUGAUGAGACUUAAGGACAUGCAAGGUUUGGGGGAACCAAUUUCAAAAAAUCAUAAAAAAUCUCGGUCACGAUGGCGGAGAACUGAACUUGACGAUUGAAUGAAUUGUACUCUUUUUCCUUGAGUGAGUUUUUGUCAUGUUUCUCACAUGUGGUUUUUGAUGAUGUAGUUCGUGCUAUACAACGACAUAUAUUGUACGAUCUUUCUUCAUAUUUUUUUCACUGGAUUUUUCUACCUUUUAAACGAAUGUUUCCCCACGUUAAGAAGGUACAUGUCCCCUACAUCUAGCUAUAUAAAGAGGAGAGCACCUAUUGUAUGUAUGGUUGAUCAAUGAAUAAUAAAUAAAGACUCCCUUCUAAGUCUUUAUGACCAUUUACUUCAUGUAUCUCUGUGUGGUCGAAUAUGACGCUCGCUCCCCUUCCGCAACCUUCGUUGGACUCACCAACAGAAGUUGCGGAACAAUUUAUAUCUCUUGCAAGCAGAACAAUUAGCAAACCUUGUUGACCCGUGUCAGCACGAGGUCAGCAAUUUUUACUACCACGUGAACAGGAGCAUGAGGGUAACACACGAUGCGGACAAGAAAUAAUCCAUCACAAUGGCUGGGCAGAAAUCCGCGUCAAUACUUGGUGAAUGCCCAGCGUGGCUCGGUGGCAGCCGAAGAUGAACAGCGAAACGUUUAAUUGGGAGGACUGAUAAGAAUAGCUUGUUUUCUGCCUAGCCUUCCGGAAAUUCCAAGCACCGCCGACAAAUCUGCAAGCAUUCUAAUGCCUCCUGGUCCUAGUGAGUGGUGGCCGGAGAAAAAUUAUAUACAUACAUAUUGACUGUGGACUCUCUAAUUAAGAUUUAAAGUGUGUCGAGAUUUCAUUGAAAUGUGUGGCAUCGGUUUUGGGUUUUGGUAUAGUGUUGGUGAGUGCGUAUUCAUGUGAGGGUCCAAGAGGUGAGUGAAGAUGGAGAAGCAACAAGGGGAAGUGAUGCUUUUAAACACAGAAGAUAAAGAACUGGCCACGUCACGGUGGUAAACAAGAGUCAUUGAUGAUGUAAGCUAAUUUUGGCGAAGGGCCAUUAAAUGAAUUUUAGGCUCAAAAGGAGAGAGGCCACAUAUACACAUACAUAAAAUACUUAAAGUGGCUCAGCUAUCCCAUGCGUUUCAAGUAGUUUGGGUGAGUGCUUUGCUGGUUGCCACAUGUCCUCGGUUUAAAGAUCCUAAAUUCUGAUGUUUUUUCUUUUUCUUUUUUACUGCCUCCUAAAAAUAAUUACUACACACCACUUAUCUUGCACGCGGGCACGUUUUCGUGAAACGUCUCACUAUUUUUCAUAUUUUUUGUCUUUUUCUUUUGUUCUCAACGUCUUGAGAGAGAGAAGAGAGAGAGAAGUAAAGGUCAGAUCGACAAGCCCUGCUCCCAAAAUUCAUAGCACUGUCAUCAUUUUUUUUGCGUGAAAACUUCUGUCCUAUUUAUUUUCAAUUAUGGAAGUAGAACAAACAUCAGAAAUAAUAAUAAUACAUCCAGUUCAUAGAUCAACUAACAUUAACUUGAUGUUGCCUCCUACUCCUAGUGUGGAGUUGCCAAGAAAAAGAAAUAAAGCAUGUUUAUGCUUCUAGCAACCGUGACUGAUUUUUCUAUUGAAGCUUUAUAGGUGAUCCAGAUUUCAGCGCAUCGCGGUAGAAGCUUCUCGCAGCAUUGUUAUUUUCAAUUAAUUGUGGUAGAAGCUUCUGACUGUGAUUUUAUGCAUAUGUUGAUCGAUCCUGCAAUGCCGCUAGUGAUUUUACUCACCUUGUUAUAUAAAGUGACUAGCAACAAUAUAUAGUCCGACUAGGAUUAUGUCUCACUCUUUAUGUUGCCAGUAAUUUCAAGUAGAGUUUUUCUAGGGAAUUUCCGGUAGAGAGUUAGAACUUGGUCAAUCCAAUAUUAUGCAAGAGUAUGUGCAAACAUCACAACGAGUCCAUGGAGUGAGAAAAUAAGCAAGACCCAAAGAUUGCGAGGAAUAUGUAAAUUUCAUUUAUACAUAGAUUAUGCAUAAUUACUAGCAUUGCCCGCGGUCAUGAAUAUUGCCACGGUCACCCAUCAUGCGGUACACAGACCCAGCAACAUUGUAAUUAAUUCUAGCGAAAAGGACAAAACUCACUUGCAUAUGUUGAUUGUUCCUGCAAUGCCGCAAGUGAUUUAAUUCACCAUGUUAUAAAGUGACUACCAUAAAUAUAUAGACAAGCACGGAGUACGUUGUUGUCUAUGGUGCCAUUUAGUUUUAGUAGCGGUACACCUUGUUCAAAAUAAAAACAAGUAUGUGCAACCACCACCAUAUCUCCAUUCAGUAGUAGUUAGACAGUGUUAGUUUGGGUAUAUUAGUAAAAUCAUACUAAGAUACAUCCAAGUAUAAACAAGAAAAUAGUUACAUAUUGAUACUGCCAUCAUUCUGUAUGUAAAAAAAAAUCCUAAUGUCCAGUUGCAACAAGUUACUUAUCAUGUGGCAAGAGUCGUCUUCAUCCGGCCCGUCAAGUGUCUUUUGUCUGUCGAGUUUUCCACCUAGGUAUCGUAAACAUGUUUACCGAGUUCCCGAUGGCUAGUUCUCAGUAAACAGUCAUUUGCCUGAAAAGUUCGGGCGGAGUACUCUUAGCCAAGAACCAAAUGUUUAACUGGGAAGAUGGAAAGAGCUUGUGUCCUACCUAGACUUCCCAGAACUCCAAGCACCGCCGGCAAAUCUUUCAAACAGUCUGAUGCCUCCUAGUCCUAGACUCCUAGUGUGUUGUGGCCAGAGAAAUUACAUACAUAUAUGCUUCCAGCAACAUAUUGACCGUGGUCUUUCUAAUUAAGAUUUAGAGUGUAUCGAGAUUCCUAUGAAAUGUGCGGUAUGUGUUUCAUGUUUUGGGAUAGUGUUGGUGUUCAUAUGUGAGGGUCCAAGAGGUGAGUGAAGAUGGAGAAACCAGGAGCAGAAGUGAUGCUUUUAAAGACAAACGAUCGAUCAAGAACUUGCCACGUCACUGAUCAGGCGGUAGCUAGAGUCUCAGACCUCAGUGAUGUAAGUUAAGGGUAGCAGAAGAGGCUAAAGUCAAUUGCAUACAUUGAUCCAUCGUGGCGAUGUCCAACCUGUUAUGCUCCUAGUAACUUCAAUCACCAUGCUAUGAAGUGAGUGCUAGACCGGCUCGGAGUACGUCUUUGUUUCAAUUUCUUCAGUACUAACGUGUACAUUAAAUGAGUUUUAUGCUCGAAAGGACAAACAUCACACACACACAGGACGACGAGUCAAAAACAAUAAUGAAUCCAAACGUGUAAGUAAAGAAUGGAGAAGCAACGAGGGAAUCGAUGGGUUUUUCAAGAUGACGACAUAAAAGUACUAGCAAAUGCGUGUUAUUCAAUAUUAUCCAUGUCACCCAUCAACUGGUAGACAGACCCCAGCAACGUUGUAAUUUUCAACUAAUUGUAGAUAAACCAGAAAGGAUAAAAGUCACAUGCAUCUAUCGAUAGAUCCUGAUUUUACUCACCCUGUUGUAAAUUUACUUUUUUACAUGGGUAAGAUUUCGAAUUUGGCUAGGGCUUUUGCCUGCUAGCCGCGCGGGAGAGAGUAGGGAGGAGGCGCGCGCCAAGUUGAUCGUGGGAGAUUGUGCGGAGCAAAGGGGUGGCUGUGAUCGGGGGAGUCUUUCCCUGAGGAUUUUCUGAGAUUUGUUACGCUAAAUAAGAGAGGAUCCAGAAUUCCUUUUUUUUCUUCCCUACUCUCACGUGAUUAUGGUAGGGGCAUUUACGUUCAAAACCAACGAAAGUUUCUCUUCCAGAUCAUGCGUUAAUAUUGAUGCAAAAAACUAUACACCAACAUCUAGGAACGCAGGGACAAUAAUGUUUUUAAUUUUCUCAAUUUCUUUUUACGCCCACACGGCAGCCUGCCAAGGCACAAGCCUUGCAACGAUAGGGCUCAACCACAAGGAUUAAACAAAGAGAAAAGUAAAUAAAACUACCUUUUUUUCUUUUGUUUACCGCGCGCGACAUGCAUGUUACUUCGCGUGAGUCAAAAACAAUAACUUCCGCAUGCAUGCCAUCAGGAUCGGGGUGGAAAUUAUAUGUAAUAUGGUCGCCUUGACAACAUGUGAUAAUGAAAUACACCCUAUAACUUGAAGAGAGAGGAAAUGUUAGUUUGAUUAACAACGCACCACAUCAACAACGCACCACCACAAGACCAUAAACUUAACUUAUCUACAACUCGACACCUUGGAUCCCAACCCCUUACAAGUACAACAAAAUCACCAGCCCACUAGCAUAACACCAACGACGCACGCAGUCGAUGAUGAUUCUCUCUUAUCGCCUCAUGGGGACUGAGGUACUCCUCGAUGCACUGCAGCAUGAGGUGGAUGCAUUGCUUGGGCUUGGGCGUCUUGAGUAAGUGUAAGACGACACAAGGUACGAUGUCGACAUUGUAGUUCAUGGUCGACAUGUAGCCAACCGCGCCCGAGCGAUAGCUAACCUCGUUGAAUCCGACAUGGCUAUAAUCGAUGACCAACAUUUUUUUAGGAAAGGAGGACCCUUUAUUAAUGAAAGAAAUAGAAUAGCCUGCGGCUCCAAACAAUCUCAUAAGGAGCUGCAAAAUAAUCAAAAAGAAAAAAAAAUGCCACAACUGACAAAAAUAAGACUAGUUGUCUAACAAUCUAUCCUAUUAUUAAACAGCCAUCCAAACCGAUUAUAGAUAUCCCGAGCUAUUAUCUUCCACCAACCUCAUAAUCAGUGAUCAGCUCCAUGCUAUGAGCUCCAUGCUUGCCCUUGGGGCCUAUGGACCACCUAUUUUCCCUCUACCGCAUGCUAUGAUCUAUGUAAUGCUGUUUAACGUUCGGUAAAACACCACGAGGCUUUCCUCUAAAUAAACAGAAAACAGCGCAGCUAAGUGCAGGGACACUUCUAGUUAUUGACCUGUUAUAGACUUAUAUGCGUUAGAAAUUAUGGAUGAACAUGAUGAACGUAUUCUCAUGCCUUCAGGUGGGAAGGGGGGUUUCAUUAUUCUUGUGACUUUCAUCCAAUAGCAUGUCUUUCCUUUUGUUUCACUAAAUGACACACUUUUGAUUGGCAGCUAGACAAAAUGGCACAAUUUUUUUUCAUGCUUUAUUUUUAGGUCUAGAUCCACUUGUCAGCUAUGUUCGAUCGAACCUUAGUGACCAACUGGCGAGUGGUUGCGACAUUAGAGAAAGGACAACAUAACCACCUCAGCUUGAUUCGUCCUAGACCCAUACUACCAAAUCGAGACAAGCAUCGGACGAUCUGCAGACGAGGGGCACACGGCUCCCAUGCCACCAAAUCCCAAUGCUCAAGUCAAUAGCUGCCAUGACAGAUGACUAAAAGAUCUUCCCUAGCCUUCCAAAAAUUCAGACCACUGCCAUCAUAUCUUCUUAACUUGCUGAUGCCUCCUACUCCUAGCGUGCGGCCAAGAUAAAGAAAAAGCAUGUAUACGUUUCCAGCAACUUUGACUGCGAUAUUUCUAGUGAACCUUUAUACUGGUGUAUUGCGGUGUAUGUUUCGGGUUGGGUUUGGGAUAAUGUGUGUGUGGGGUUCGGGGAGGUUAGUGAAGAAUGGAGAAGCAGCGAGGGAGUCGGUUGGUUUUUUAAGAUGAUGAUGUAGAAGUACUUGCAUAUGUGUGCGGUCUUGAAUAUUAGCCACGUCACCCAUCAGUCGGUAGACAGACCCUAGGGACGUUGUAAUUUUCAAUUAAUUGUAGCAGAAACCAGAACGGACAAAAGUCACAUGUACAUGCAUAUGUUGGUCGAUCCUGCAAUGCCGCUAGUGAUUUUACUCACCGUGUUAUAUAAAGUGACUAGCAUCCAAAUGUAGACCGGCUAGGAGUAUGUCUCACUGUUUAUGUUGCCAGUUAUUUCAAGUAGAGUUUUUGUAGGGAACUUUGUCAAACCAGGCAAAAUUAUGCAAGAGUAUGUGCAACCAUUAUUAGAGUAUGUGCAAUCAUGUUUAUUUCAUUGCAUUAGUUCGUUCAUGCAUGUAGUUGAACUGAAGGCUUGAGGCUGCGGCAGUGAACGUGCUCGUAGAAGUGUGAGACAAGUACACAUGCAAGCUAAUAGGGCCUGAUUAAUUAGUUGAGUUAGCAUGAGCUGAUCAGUACCAUGCACGUACAUGCAGUUUGCAUGGAUGUGUUGGUUAGCUACAUGCACGUACAGCUCCGUGGAGUCAAGGCGGCCGAGUCCUACGGCAGAUCAGUGUGGAGCUAGAACUGGACGCAAUUGGUUGGGCGUGCGUCAAGUGUGCCGUUGCGGGUAAGCUCAUGUCUGUUGUAACUUGGAUUCGACUCAAUCUGCAGGAAUAAUCGGAUCAAGCAGCUGGCUUGGCUGGCGCGUCUGCGAGCGACCCUACACGUACGGACAAUAUUUAGGGAAAUUUACGAGAAUGAUUAGGUGAGCUAAGAUGAUUGAAAGAAAUAAGGGCGAGGGGGCCACACCCCUGAGAAUCGGGGGCGGUGGAAAUUAGUUGAUGAAGGAGUCCGUAAACCCUCCGUAUAACUCCGUAUGUUUAGAAUUUUCGCGCGUCUGCAUGCAACGUAGUGGGUUAGUGGGUGCGUGUGUUGUGUAGGUUUGGUACUUGAACACAUGUACUCAGCUGAUUUGCGUUGUGGGGAAUGCAAGAGAAAAAUGUAGCCAUUGUGAUAGCCAAGGAAGAGAGCAUCUCGACAAAGCCUUUGUGUUCUUCCUUAGUACAUGUGUUUGUAGAGUUUCUCCGUGGUGUGUGUUCUUGAGAGAAGAAGAGAGUGUUGCUAGGAGGUAGAAGAAGGCGGCGCAGCGACGAGACGGCGCCGACAACCACCACCACGAGUCCAUUGAGCGACGAAAUAAGCUAGUCCCAAAGAUUAUGAGGAAUAUGUAAAAAUUCAUUUAUACAUAGAAGACUCGUUCAGGCAACCACCGAGAAGAGAUGGCAUGAUCUGGAGACAUCGUACAUGCAUGCCACCUAUUAAUCUACUUGAAGAAGUAUGGGAGGUCGAGCACGUAGAGGAGGAAGUAUGCCCAGACGGCGCCGGAUACACCGCCGAAGAAGAAGCCUCCGGUGAACUGCGACCACCCUUCGGCGGUCUGGAGCUUGUCGGCCUCCUUCUUGCGUCCGGUGAGGGUGAGCACCGGCGCGGUGGACGGCUCGCCCUCGUUGAAGGAGGCGACGCCGUACAUGGUGAGGCAGACGCUGAGGAUGGAGACGAGUCCGAUGGCGCCGAGUGUGCCGGCCUGUCCGUGCACGGGCGUGUUGCGGAGCGGGCCAGUGAGCGCGAAGGGGCCGACGAGGAGGUAGCCAUGGGCGAGGCCGACCUCGAUGCCGCGGAGGAGCGGGCUGACGGCGGUGCGGUAGGCGGGGAGGUUGGAGAGGUACCACGCGACGAGGGGGCUGGAGGUGACCGGCGUCUCCAGGCUGCCGAUGAACGGGUCGCCGUUGAUGGGCUGGACCACUUGGUACGUCGGCUGAGAGGAAACACCAAAACAUGUAUGAGAUGCAAAGCAAGGCCUACAACAAGCUAAACCCUACUUGUAUCCCACAAAUUGUGGUUUGUUUUGGAUGAAUAAAUCUCUGUUCGUCCUAAAAAACAACACGCUAAACCUUAAUUUUAGCUCUCUCUUGCAUGCAAUUGCAAGUUUGCGACUGACCUUGUCAGACUUGACAGCCUUGACGACGAAGCGGGGCCUCCGGGUGAGCGAAGCGCCGGACAUGCCCCGCGGCUUGGAGCACGCCAAGCCGCUCUUCAUCACCUGGCUCGCCAUGGGAGGAGCAUAUGCAGUGGCCAUCUCGAUGUCCUCCUUCGACUCCCACACGCUCAACUCUGCUCUGCCUGCAGCGUCAAAUGGAUGGAUGUGUUACAAGAAGAAGAUCUGUCCAGAUGGCAAGAUGUUUUAGUGGCUCCAAGGGAGAGGGG
rnacentral:lncRNA from 1 species